CCUGGCUCAGGAUGAACGCUAGCGACAGGCUUAACACAUGCAAGUCGAGGGGCAGCACAGGUAGCAAUACCGGGUGGCGACCGGCGCACGGGUGAGUAACGCGUAUGCAACUUACCUAUCAGAGGGGGAUAACCCGGCGAAAGUCGGACUAAUACCGCAUGAAGCAGGGGUCCCGCAUGGGGAUAUUUGCUAAAGAUUCAUCGCUGAUAGAUAGGCAUGCGUUCCAUUAGGCAGUUGGCGGGGUAACGGCCCACCAAACCGACGAUGGAUAGGGGUUCUGAGAGGAAGGUCCCCCACAUUGGUACUGAGACACGGACCAAACUCCUACGGGAGGCAGCAGUGAGGAAUAUUGGUCAAUGGGCGUAAGCCUGAACCAGCCAAGUCGCGUGAGGGAUGAAGGUUCUAUGGAUCGUAAACCUCUUUUAUAAGGGAAUAAAGUGCGGGACGUGUCCCGUUUUGUAUGUACCUUAUGAAUAAGGAUCGGCUAACUCCGUGCCAGCAGCCGCGGUAAUACGGAGGAUCCGAGCGUUAUCCGGAUUUAUUGGGUUUAAAGGGUGCGUAGGCGGCCUUUUAAGUCAGCGGUGAAAGUCUGUGGCUCAACCAUAGAAUUGCCGUUGAAACUGGGGGGCUUGAGUAUGUUUGAGGCAGGCGGAAUGCGUGGUGUAGCGGUGAAAUGCUUAGAUAUCACGCAGAACCCCGAUUGCGAAGGCAGCCUGCCAAGCCAUGACUGACGCUGAUGCACGAAAGCGUGGGGAUCAAACAGGAUUAGAUACCCUGGUAGUCCACGCAGUAAACGAUGAUCACUAGCUGUUUGCGAUACAGUGUAAGCGGCACAGCGAAAGCGUUAAGUGAUCCACCUGGGGAGUACGCCGGCAACGGUGAAACUCAAAGGAAUUGACGGGGGCCCGCACAAGCGGAGGAACAUGUGGUUUAAUUCGAUGAUACGCGAGGAACCUUACCCGGGUUUGAACGCAUUCGGACCGAGGUGGAAACACCUUUUCUAGCAAUAGCCGUUUGCGAGGUGCUGCAUGGUUGUCGUCAGCUCGUGCCGUGAGGUGUCGGCUUAAGUGCCAUAACGAGCGCAACCCUUGCCACUAGUUACUAACAGGUAAAGCUGAGGACUCUGGUGGGACUGCCAGCGUAAGCUGCGAGGAAGGCGGGGAUGACGUCAAAUCAGCACGGCCCUUACAUCCGGGGCGACACACGUGUUACAAUGGCGUGGACAAAGGGAAGCCACCUGGCGACAGGGAGCGAAUCCCCAAACCACGUCUCAGUUCGGAUCGGAGUCUGCAACCCGACUCCGUGAAGCUGGAUUCGCUAGUAAUCGCGCAUCAGCCAUGGCGCGGUGAAUACGUUCCCGGGCCUUGUACACACCGCC
rnacentral:rRNA from 1 species